rnacentral:misc_RNA from 1 species
UUUCCGUAGGUGAACCUGCGGAAGGAUCAUUAAUACUUUCUUCAUUGGUGGUUCGGGUUUUUUCUUUCUCUUUUACCAGAGAGAGAAAGCUCGAGCGCCAUGUGACCCUUGAACGAACGCGGUUGGAUCUUAUUCCCUUUCUUUUUACUACCCACUUUUACACUUUAGAACGAAUGAUUGAGUCGGACUGCCCCCACACCGUGGGUAAUGUCUGUAACAUCAAACUAAAAAAACAAACAAUUCUCAGCAACGGAUAUCUAGGCUCUCGCAUCGAUGAAGGACGCAGC